rnacentral:rRNA from 1 species
UGGGGAAUAUUGGACAAUGGACCAAGAGUCUGAUCCAGCAAUUCUGUGUGCACGAUGAAGUUUUUCGGAAUGUAAAGUGCUUUCAGUUGGGAAGAAAAAAAUGACGGUACCAACAGAAGAAGUGACGGCUAAAUACGUGCCAGCAGCCGCGGUAAUACGUAUGUCACGAGCGUUAUCCGGAUUUAUUGGGCGUUAACGCGUCUAGGUGGUUAUGUAAGUCUGAUGUGAAAAUGCAGGGCUCAACUCUGUAUUGCGUUGGAAACUGUAUAACUAGAGUACUGGAGAGGUAAGCGGAACUACAAGUGUAGAGGUGAAAUUCGUAGAUAUUUGUAGGAAUGCCGAUGGGGAAGCCAGCUUACUGGACAGAUACUGACGCUGAAGCGCGAAAGCGUGGGUAGCAAACAGGAUUAGAUACCCUGGUAGUCCACGCUGUAAACGAUGAUUACUAGGUGUUGGGGGUCGAACCUCAGCGCCCAAGCAAACGCGAUAAGUAAUCCGCCUGGGGAGUACGUACGCAAGUAUG